rnacentral:rRNA from 1 species
AGUGAACGCUGGCGGUAGGCCUAACACAUGCAAGUCGAACGGCAGCACAGUAAGAGCUUGCUCUUACGGGUGGCGAGUGGCGGACGGGUGAGGAAUACAUCGGAAUCUACUUUUUCGUGGGGGAUAACGUAGGGAAACUUACGCUAAUACCGCAUACGACCUACGGGUGAAAGCAGGGGAUCUUCGGACCUUGCGGGAUUGAAUGAGCCGAUGUCGGAUUAGCUAGUUGGCGGGGUAAAGGCCAACCAAGGCGACGAUCCGUAGCUGGUCUGAGAGGAUGAUCAGCCACACUGGAACUGAGACACGGUCCAGACUCCUACGGGAGGCAGCAGUGGGGAAUAUUGGACAAUGGGCGCAAGCCUGAUCCAGCCAUACCGCGUGGGUGAAGAAGGCCUUCGGGUUGUAAAGCCCUUUUGUUGGGAAAGAAAAGCAGCAGGUUAAUACCCCGCUGUUCUGACGGUACCCAAAGAAUAAGCACCGGCUAACUUCGUG